GCGAAAGAAGUGGGAGGAGGCAGGUUAAGGCGUAGGGUGUGGGGGGUAUGCGGAAUUACUGGGCGUAAAGCGGGCGCAGGCGGUUUUGUAAUACAGGCGUGAAAUCCCCGGGCUGAACCUGGGAACUGCGUUUGUGACUGCAAGACUAGAGUACGGCAGAGGGGGGUGGAAUUCCACGUGUAGCAGUGAAAUGCGUAGAGAUGUGGAGGAACACCAAUGGCGAAGGCAGCCCCCUGGGUCGAUACUGACGCUCAUGCACGAAAGCGUGGGUAGCAAACAGGAUUAGAUACCCUAGUAGUC
rnacentral:rRNA from 1 species